GGUGACGGUUCAGUCCGUUUCAGUGGCUCGUGAUUUUAAGGAGCUGAUUUUUCAGUCAAGUUUGGUGAUUCCUCGCCCCGCUAUUAAUUAUUUUGAAACACAGCUUAUUCUGUCCUGUUCGAUUUUUUGCUGAGUCGCUUUGAAGUCGAAAGAAGAAACUCGUAUCCGUUGUCAUUGUGCGAGUUUCGAAAGCCGUUUUCCCGUGAUAUUUCCAUGAUAUUUGGUUUGAAGACAUCAUUUUGGAAGUCAGUUUGUUCAUAAAUCAUUUGGUGUUAAUUCGGUCUCCAGUUUCACAACGUGUCUGUUAUAAAUUUACGAGUCGCUGAAGUAAUUAUGUUGUGGUCUCUCCAAAAUUCGUCAAGGCUGAGUACGAAGACUGAGAAUUUUCACUUGGCAUCAGAAUUGUUCCUGAAUUCACGGAUCAUCGCUUCAUCACGGUAAAAUCUCUCCAACUCCUUCCUGCUCUCAGAAUUAGGUAAUUGCGAACGAAUCGACCAUUUGUCUAUACUCUCAAUUUUUCAAAGUGAGAUGGUACAGUAUUCUUCCUCACCACUGAUACAAGCAGUCACCAUUUGGGUGGAUUUUAGUCAUAUCAGUCUAACUUCAUUCCACGUUGCCUAUAAUUGAAUCUCUCAGUUCGAAAACUACUGAACUCUGCACGGUGCUCCUGAGGGGGGUUUAAAUCGAAGUUCGUCAUGAACGAAAAAUUUGAGCUGGAAUGUCAAGAGGAGGACUCCCAGACACUAAAAACUACAAUUUCGAAACAGGUUGUUGGAGCUCCUGGAGAAA